rnacentral:rRNA from 1 species
CCCUUAGAUGUUCUGGGCCGCACGCGCGCUACACUGAUGCAUUCAACAAGUUCACCUUGGCCGAGAGGCUUGGGCAAUCUUUUGAACAUGCAUCGUGAUAGGGAUAGAUUAUUGCAAUUAUUAAUCUUGAACGAGGAAUUCCUAGUAAACGUAGAUCAUCAAUCUGCAUUGAUUACGUCCCUGCCCUUUGUACACACCGCCCGUCGCACCUACCGAUUGAAUGGUCCGGUGAAGCCUCGAGAUUGUGGCCAGCUCGCUUUAUUGGGAGUUGGUUGCGAGAACUUGUCUAAACCUUAUCAGUUAGAGGAAGGUGAAGUCGUAACA